rnacentral:rRNA from 1 species
GAACCUUACCAGGUCUUGACAUCCCGAUGCUAUUUCUAGAGAUAGAAAGUUACUUGGUACAUCGGUGACAGGUGGUGCAUGGUUGUCGUCAGCUCGUGUCGUGAGAUGUUGGGUUAAGUCCCGCAACGAGCGCAACCCCUAUUGUUAGUUGCCAUCAUUCAGUUGGGCACUCUAGCGAGACUGCCGGUAAUAAACCGGAGGAAGGUGGGGAUGACGUCAAAUCAUCAUGCCCCUUAUGACCUGGGCUACACACGUGCUACAAUGGUUGGUACAACGAGUUGCGAGUCGGUGACGGCGAGCUAAUCUCUUAAAGCCAAUCUCAGUUCGGAUUGUAGGCUGCAACUCGCCUACAUGAAGUCGGAAUCGCUAGUAAUCGCGGAUCAGCACGCCCGCGGUCCGAAUACGUUCCGGGCCUU